CCUACGGGGGGCUGCAAUUAGGAAUCUUGCGCAAUGGGCGAAAGCCUGACGCAGCGACGUCGCGUGACUGAUGAAGUCUUUCGGGAUGUAAAGGUCUUUUCUGGGGGAAGAAGGAUGUGACGGUACCCCAGGAAUAAGCCCCGGCUAACUACGUGCCAGCAGCCGCGGUAAUACGUAGGGGGCGAGCGUUGUCCGAAUUCACUGGGCGUAAAGCGCGCGUAGGCGGACUUGUAAGUUGGGGGGGAAAUCCCGAGGCUCAACCUCGGAACUGCCUUCAAAACUGGGAGUCUUGAGGGAUGGAGAGGGAAGUGGAAUUCCAGGUGUAGCGGUGAUAUGCGUAGAUAUCUGGAGGAACACCCGUGGCGAAGGCGGCUUCCUGGCCAUAUCCUGACGCUGAGGUGCGAAAGCUAGGGGAGCGAACG
rnacentral:rRNA from 1 species